rnacentral:rRNA from 1 species
GUGACGUCGCGAGAAGUCCACUGAACCUUAUCAUUUAGAGGAAGGAGAAGUCNUAACAAGGUUUCCGUAGGUGAACCUGCGGAAGGAUCAUUGUCGAAACCUGCCCAUCAGAAGGACCGGCGAAC